CCGCGGUUAUACGAGAGGCCCAAGUUGACAGGCACCGGCGUAAAGAGUGGUUAGGAAAAUAUUUUACUAAAGCCGAACACCCUCAGAACUGUCAUACGUUUCCGAAGGUAUGAAGCCCUUCCACGAAAGUGGCUUUACCCCCUCCGACUCCACGAAAGCUGCGG
rnacentral:rRNA from 1 species